rnacentral:rRNA from 1 species
UACGUAGGUCCCGAGCGUUGUCCGGAUUUAUUGGGCGUAAAGGGCGUGUAGGCGGGAAUGCAAGUCAGAUGUGAAAACUCAGGGCUCAACCCUGAGCCUGCAUUUGAAACUGUAUUUCUUGAGUGCUGGAGAGGCAAUCGGAAUUCCGUGUGUAGCGGUGAAAUGCGUAGAUAUACGGAGGAACACCAGUGGCGAAGGCGGAUUGCUGGACAGUAACUGACGCUGAGGCGCGAAAGCGUGGGGAGCAAACAGG